AGCCAUGCAUGUCUAAGUAUAAGCAAUUAUACAGCGAAACUGCGAAUGGCUCAUUAUAUAAGUUAUCGUUUAUUUGAUAGUACCUUACUACUUGGAUAACCGUGGUAAUUCUAGAGCUAAUACAUGCUAAAAAUCCCGACUUCGGAAGGGAUGUAUUUAUUAGAUUAAAAACCAAUGCCCUCUGGGCUCUCUGGUGAUUCAUGAUAACUUUUCGAAUCGCAUGGCCUUGCGCCGGCGAUGGCUCAUUCAAAUUUCUUCCCUAUCAACUUUCGAUGUUUGGGUAUUGGCCAAACAUGGUCGCAACGGGUAACGGAGGGUUAGGGCUCGACCCCGGAGAAGGAGCCUGAGAAACGGCUACUACAUCCAAGGAAGGCAGCAGGCGCGCAAAUUACCCAAUCCCGACACGGGGAGGUAGUGACAAUAAAUACUGAUACAGGGCUCUUUUGGGUCUUGUAAUUGGAAUGAGUACAAUUUAAAUCCCUUAACGAGGAACAAUUGGAGGGCAAGUCUGGUGCCAGCAGCCGCGGUAAUUCCAGCUCCAAUAGCGUAUAUUAAAGUUGUUGUGGUUAAAAAGCUCGUAGUUGAACCUUGGGCCUGGCUGGCCGGUCCGCCUCACCGCGUGUACUGGUCCGGCCGGGCCUUUCCCUCUGUGGAACCUCAUGCCCUUCACUGGGCGUGACGGGGAAACAGGACUUUUACUGUGAAAAAAUUAGAGUGCUCCAGGCAGGCCUAUGCUCGAAUACAUUAGCAUGGAAUAAUGAAAUAGGACGUGCGGUUCUAUUUUGUUGGUUUCUAGGACCGCCGUAAUGAUUAAUAGGGACAGUCGGGGGCAUCAGUAUUCAAUUGUCAGAGGUGAAAUUCUUGGAUUUAUUGAAGACUAACUACUGCGAAAGCAUUUGCCAAGGAUGUUUUCAUUAAUCAGGAACGAAAGUUAGGGGAUCGAAGACGAUCAGAUACCGUCGUAGUCUUAACCAUAAACUAUGCCGACUAGGGAUCGGACGAUGUAAAUAAUUGACUCGUUCGGCACCUUACGAGAAAUCAAAGUGUUU
rnacentral:rRNA from 1 species